rnacentral:rRNA from 1 species
UACAGAGGGGGCAAGCGUUGUUCGGAAUUACUGGGCGUAAAGAGCUCGUAGGCGGUUUGUCGCGUCUGCUGUGAAAACUCGGGGCUUAACCCCGGGCCUGCAGUGGGUACGGGCAGACUAGAGUGCGGUAGGGGAGACUGGAAUUCCUGGUGUAGCGGUGAAAUGCGCAGAUAUCAGGAGGAACACCGGUGGCGAAGGCGGGUCUCUGGGCCGUAACUGACGCUGAGGAGCGAAAGCGUGGGGAGCGAACAGG